UCAAGCUAAAAAGAGCGCAGGGUGGAUGCCUUGGCACUAAGAGCCGAUGAAAGACGUGAUAAGCUGCGAUAAGCUACGGGGAGGAGCACAUAUCCAUUGAUCCGUAGAUUUCUGAAUGGGGAAACCCGGCUGAGCAUACCUCAGUCACCGUGCACUGAAUCCAUAGGUGUACGGAGGGAACCCGGUGAACUGAAACAUCUAAGUAGCCGGAGGAAGAGAAAGAAAACUCGAUUUUCAAAGUAGCGGCGAGCGAAAUGGAAAGAGCCCAAACCGGAGUGCGUGCACUCCGGGGUUCGGACUGCAUUUAUGACUUCUGACUGUAGCGGAACGGUUCUGGAAAGACCGGCCAGAGAGGGUGAGAGCCCCGUAGGCGAAACGGAAAGAAGCAGAGCAGGAUCCAGAGUACCACGAGACACGAGAAACCUUGUGGGAAUGAGCGGGGACCACCCCGUAAGGCUAAAUACUCCUUAGUGACCGAUAGAGCAGAGUACUGUGAAGGAAAGGUGAAAAGGACCCCGGGAGGGGAGUGAAAGAGAACCUGAAACCCUGUGUUUACAAACUGUGGAAGUACCAUAUGAGUACAACCGCGUACUUUUUGUAGAACGGUCCGGCGAGUUACGUUUACUGGCGAGGUUAAGCACUUAAGGUGCGGAGCCGAAGGGAUACCAAGUCUUAACAGGGCGUUAAGUCAGUGUACGUAGACCCGAAACCGGGUGAUCUACCCAUGUCCAGGCUGAAGUUGCCGUAAAAGGCAAUGGAGGGCCGAACGCACAUCCGUUGAAAAGGGUGGCGAUGAGGUGUGGGUAGGGGAGAAAUUCCAAUCGAACCCGGAGAUAGCUGGUUCUCCUCGAAAUAGCUUUAGGGCUAGCCUCGUUUUAGUCUUAUGGAGGUAGAGCACUGAAUUUCCGCGGGGGCGUCAAAGCUUACCAAAGAAUAUCAAACUCCGAAUGCCAUGUAGAUGAUGAACGGGAGUCAGACUGCACGAGAUAAGUUGGGCAGUCAAAAGGGAAAGAGCCCAGACCGCCAGCCAAGGUCCCAAAGUGUGUGUUAAGUGGAAAAGGAUGUGGGAUCUCCAAGACAACUAGGAUGUUGGCUCAGAAGCAGCCACACAUUCAAAGAGUGCGUAACAGCUCACUAGUCGAGAGGUCCUGCGCCGAAAAUGUCCGGGGCUGAAACACAACACCGAAGCUGCGGAAUUGCGAAUGCAAUUGGUAGAGGAGCAUUCUUAAUACCGACGAAGCUGUACCGGAAGGAGCAGUGGAGGGAUAAGAAGAGAGAAUGCCGGAAUGAGUAGCGAGAGAGAGGUGGGAAUCCUCUCGGCCGAAUAUCCAAGGUUUCCAGAGUAAAGCUGAUCUGCUCUGGGUAAGUCGGGGCCUAAGGCGAGGUCAAGAGACGUAGCCGAUGGACAACAGGUUUAGAUUCCUGUACCGCAUAUAAACAGAACUGUGGGGACGCAUGGGGAGAGCAUGGGCCGGGAAUGGAAAUACCGGUGCAAGCGAAGGAGGUGUGCAGCCGGCAAAUCCGCUGCAUGAGCCGAAAGCGUGACGCGGAGCGAAAUGAAAGUAGCGAAGCAUGUGAGCCCUGUGCCGAGAAAAGCCGCUAUUGCUUUAUAUGUGCCCGUACCGUAAACCGACACAGGUGGAUGAGGAGAGAAUCCUAAGGCCGGCGGAAGAAGUAUUGUUAAGGAACUCGGCAAAAUGACCCCGUAACUUCGGGAGAAGGGGUGCCCACGGGAGUGGGCCGCAGAGAAUAGGCUCAAGCAACUGUUUAGCAAAAACACAGGUCUAUGCGAAACCGAAAGGUGAAGUAUAUGGGCUGACGCCUGCCCGGUGCUGGAAGGUUAAGAGGAGAGGUUAGCGCAAGCGAAGCUUUGAAUUUAAGCCCCAGUAAACGGCGGCCGUAACUAUAACGGUCCUAAGGUAGCGAAAUUCCUUGUCGGGUAAGUUCCGACCC
rnacentral:rRNA from 1 species